rnacentral:snoRNA from 2 species
ACGACCUUACUUGAACAGGAUCUGUUCUAUAGGCUCGUACUUCUGUAUCCUUGAUUUCUAAGGAGACAGGCCCCAAACCCUGGUUGAUGAAACAUGUCCGUGCGAUCUGAGUGUGAUUAACGGUGAAGGUUGUCUUCUGACUGUCCGAGCUGUAGAGGAUCGCUAUCUGGUCUGGUCUUGACCUAGCCAGAGUGGUCGCACGGUUGUCUGACAGGUU